rnacentral:rRNA from 1 species
GUCUCCUUGAAGAUGUAAGGAGUCUGACCUGCCCACUGAAUUAUUAAAGGGCCGCGGUAUUCCUGACCGUGCGAAGGUAGCAUAAUCAUUAGUCUUUUAAUUGAAGGCUUGUAUGAAAGGUUGGACGAGGGAAAAGCUGUCUCAGUCGAAAUUUUGAAAUUAACCUCUUAGUGAAAAGGCUUAGAUAAGUUGAAAAGACGAUAAGACCCUAUAAAUCUUAAUACUAUUAUAAAAUAAGUUUCUGGCUCGUAUGUUAACAGAAGUGUUAUUUUAACAGUAUUUUGUUGGGGCGACAAAGAUAAAGAAAGAUCAUCUGUCUUAAUUUUAACACAAUUUUUUUUGUACAAAAAGAUCCUUUUUAAAGAUUAUUAGAUUAAGUUACUUUAGGGAUAACAGCGUUAUUUUCUUUGAGAGUCCAUAUCGAAAAGAGAGUUUGCGACCUCGAUGUUGAAUUAAAAUUUCUUUAUGGUGUAGCCGCUAUAAGAGAAAGUCUGUUCGACUUUUAAAAUUUU